CCAUGGCGGCGGCGGCUCGGUCUCGGACGCGGGCUCCCUCGGCCCGGCCAGCAGCUCCCUCCAAGACCUCCGCGGCCGCCACCGCCUCUGCAGCCAGGCCCGCUGCGACCCACAGCGCCCCCGGCGGCGGGAGGACUCCCGGGCGGCCCCAGCGAGGGAGCGGCGCCUGAGUUUUCUUUAUUCCGAGAUUAUCCCACAUGUGCACAGAGUAUUAAGAAAACAAACAGGAUUGUUUGGCUCAAAUACUCCAAUCAGCCAAGGAUUAUGAGAAUAAUCUGCAUAAAAUUCCAGUUCCAGCUUAACAUCUUUAAAGUUAGGUUUCCAAUGCAGUUGCCAUUCUCCUCCCUAUGAAGAAGGACAAAGAGAGAAAACUUCCAUUUACAUCACAUAUGGUCUCUGUUGCCUGGGAUAAAAUGCAGUGACA